UACGGGAGGCAGCAGUGGGGAAUAUUGCACAAUGGGCGCAAGCCUGAUGCAGCCAUGCCGCGUGUAUGAAGAAGGCCUUCGGGUUGUAAAGUACUUUCAGUCGUGAGGAAGGUGUUAAGGUUAAUAACCUUAGCAAUUGACGUUAGCGACAGAAGAAGCACCGGCUAACUCCGUGCCAGCAGCCGCGGUAAUACGGAGGGUGCGAGCGUUAAUCGGAAUUACUGGGCGUAAAGGGCACGUAGGCGGUUAAUUAAGUUGGAUGUGAAAUCCCCCGGGGCUUAACCUGGGAAUGGCAUUCAAGACUGGUUAGCUAGAGUCUUGUAGAGGGGGGUUAGAAUUCCAUGUGUAGCGGUGAAAUGCGUAGAGAUGUGGAGGAAUACCGGUGGCGAAGGCGGCCCCUGGACAAAGACUGACGCUCAUGUGCGAAAGCGUGGGGAGCAAACAGGGAUUAGAUACC
rnacentral:rRNA from 1 species